rnacentral:rRNA from 1 species
GCGGUAACAGAUCUAGCUUGCUAGAUGCUGACGAGCGGCGGACGGGUGAGUAACGCGUAGGAAUCUACCGAGUAGUGGGGGAUAGCCCAGAGAAAUUUGGAUUAAUACCGCAUACGCCCUACGGGGGAAAGGAGGGGAUCUUCGGACCUUUCGCUAUUUGAUGAGCCUGCGUAAGAUUAGCUAGUUGGUAGGGUAAAGGCCUACCAAGGCGACGAUCUUUAGCUGUUCUGAGAGGAUGAUCAGCCACACUGGGACUGAGACACGGCCCAGACUCCUACGGGAGGCAGCAGUGGGGAAUAUUGGACAAUGGGGGCAACCCUGAUCCAGCCAUGCCGCGUGUGUGAAGAAGGCCUUCGGGUUGUAAAGCACUUUCAGUUGUGAGGAAAGUUUGAUGGUUAAUACCCAUUAGAUGUGACGUUAACAACAGAAGAAGGACCGGCUAACUCCGUGCCAGCAGCCGCGGUAAUACGGAGGGUCCGAGCGUUAAUCGGAAUUACUGGGCGUAAAGCGCACGCAGGCGGUUUGUUAAGCUAGAUGUGAAAGCCCCGGGCUCAACCUGGGAAUAGCAUUUAGAACUGGCAGACUAGAGUCUUGGAGAGGGGAGUGGAAUUU